GCCGUAUUUGUCUUCAUCCCAGUGUGCUGUCUCUCUCCUCAACAUGGAAAGGGAGAAGAGAUAAAAAAGGGAGAAAUGCAUUCAUUAGCAUUAACCAAAGGAUUCAAGCUGUUUUUGUUAGAGCUUAAACCAAAGGAUGCAAGCUGUUUUCGUCAGAGCUUAUAGCAUAGAGGUGUUGAAAGCUAAACUAAAUCUAAAGACUUGGCCCGGAGAUAGAGAUCACCUGGAGGAGCUCUUAGAAGCUCUUAAUUCAUUGAUCAUAUGGGCAGUAUUAGCAGGCUAAGAGAUGGGAACACCUUCUGAACAGAGACCAACAUGUUCUUUGUAAAGGAUCCUAUUGGUAACAGUGGAAGUGAUGAGAGUUUAGAUUUCUUUAGGUUAUUUUGGUAGCUAUGUUGGGCUUGAGGUGGGCAAGACUGAAGAGUGGGAUAUUGCCUCGUAGCAUGCCAUAAGCCUUAGUCCAGUGUGCCUAGAAGUAGGAAUUGUCUCAAUCUGAGUAUUGAUCAUUUGACAGAGAGAGAGAGAGAGAACUGACUUUAGGGAUAGAGCUGGUUCUGCUCAUUUAGGAAAUUCCUAAGCCCUCACUUUACCUUGUCCCUGAGUUGUAACACAAUUUAUGAUGUCUCUGGUCAAGGAUAUGACAUUCACCCACUCAGAGGUGGAUCGUAUUUUUCUUGUUUCCUGUUGCCUCAGAGGUAGCUCCAGGGUAGAAAUGAGACUCAUAUUUAAACUCAAGAACCAACCACCCACGUGGUUUCUGGGGAAGUAACCAGGAAAGGGUAUAAGCAGGAAGGAAUGAGGGGGCAUGAGGUUAGACACGAAGUUUCCAGCAGUCAGGGGUGUGAGACAUGGGAAGAGGACACUAUUAAGUCUGAGCCUCAUGCAAAUGUGUGGGUACCAGGAUGUUGGUCCUAUAAGGGGUGGCAAGGGGUGUUCCUGUGGGUCAGAAUCUAGAAAUGCAAUAAAAAAAAGCAUGUUCAUUUUUCAGAUAAGUUAUUUCACUUGUUGGGGUAAAAUAUUUCAAGUCCUCACUCUUCCAUAACCCUAAGAAUGAGCAUGCUGAUUCAGAGCUGUUUUCAAGUUCAUGUGAAAAACAUCUCUCCUUACCAUCAGGCACACAGAUACUUCAAAGUUUUCCAUUGUCAGUUUCCCUUUUUGUUAAAUGGAGGAUAGGGAUAGGGAAAAUGCUUCAUAACCCUCAUCCUCCAUGGUUGUGUAUAUUUUACCUCCUAAAUGUGACUUUUGUUUGUCUUUGCUUCUCUAACCAAACUCAGAUUAGUCUCAAAUAAUCCUAUAUGUGUCCGUAGUGUCACUGAACGAAGCUCUAACUUCUUAGAAGUUUGCACACAUAUCUGAUCUGGAUUCCCUCCUUCAAAUCUCUGAAAGAACUCAUCAGCCAUGGCUCUCACCCUGCUCUCAUGCCUCCUGGGACUUCCUCUGCCUCUGUAUAAAAUAUAAACACACUUUGCAACACAUGAAAUCUAGAAAAUAAAUCCAAAAAGUAAAAAUUGUUUAAUUAUUUUAAUGUGCUUUUGCUGCUCUUGCUGUAAAUUCUUUUAAACUUAGCCUCAUAGGUUGGGUUCUCAGGGAGUGGAGAUGGAGCUUGAAUGCAAGAUGUUUAUUAGAGGUCAGUACUUGAAGAGGGAGGCUGCAGGGUCGUACAGAAGAAGGAGCUGCACAAACCAUCAGGCAGUAUAGCCAGGCCUUUAUACCAUUUAUACCCCCCCUGGCUGGGCUGCGCCAGUAAGACAUGGCAUUUCCCUGCUGAGGCAGACUCAGAAGGGAGCAUCAGCUGGAGGUUCCUUGGUGGACCACACACCCACAAUCUGAGCAGCUCACCUCGGUGUCUAUUACAAUUGCUCUCUGGAUGAUCUGUAUCUUUUCUCAGCCUCUGGUCCCCAUCUUCCCCUUAAGCCUCUUCACAGCUUGCUGCCUUGCCACUUCCUGCUAUGACUGUGUGUCAUGAGUCUUCAAAUGCUCUUGUGCACAGCUCACUUCUUGUGGAUUGCCAAUUUGCACAAAGAUGACCUCUCCCAUAGGACAAAGUCAACAGUCAGGAACAAACUAGAAUACCGUGAUGCUGAGUGUGCAACAUUUACUUCCCUCAGGAAACUUGUUAUGAUUAGGGAGCCACAGAUCCCUGCAGAUGGUCCAAAUGAAGACUUUGUCAAAGGGAUUAUUUACAGAGGAGAGACACCUAGAGCCUACCAAUGAGGUCUUCAGACCCUUAGGACUGAGAAGGCAAAAGGGCAAAAUAGCACAACAGGAGCCCAUUGACAGCCAAAACUGUGUGUGGGAAGGAAUGGUUGUGAAUGGACCUCCUGGUAAAAUCUGUACUAGGAGGAUCGCAGCUGUUGUCAGGCUCAGACACAGGGAAGAAACAUUCCAUCAUUUAUCUAAUCUCCUGCUGCUGCUCUCAUUGGCGAAAUUCAGAAGUCAGCAGACAAGAGACCCCAGGUGACACAGAGCAUAAGGGCCAGCCCCCUGGGGCAUCAAAGAGCAGAGAAUGUUGGAUAAAAUCUCCAAAAUCCAACAGUGAUAUCUGACACAACUUUGUAGACAAAAUUCUUCUUUCCCUGGACUCCUUAGAAGUUUGCCACUUUAUCAACCUGCUUAUCUCCUCCCUUAUGUUGUCAUGGACCGAAGUCCCUUCAGAAGCAAAUUGUAGAGAGAUAGAGUGAGGAGAGAGUUACACAGGGCUCCUGAACCCUCACCUUAAAAAGCUUGUUUUCAUGUUAUUUGCAUGACAGUAUUAUCCCCAAACCAAUACAACGCAAUGUUCUAAUGUAGUGCUAUAUCUUCACAAUACUCUAAACACUGAAACAAUCUAAUUAAUCAUCAGGACAGGCCUGUGGUGAACAGCCCAAGACUAGCCACGGCAGACAGAUCUUCGCCUGGUGACUUCAGCCUCUGCCCUCUUAGACAGGUUGUGAAGGAAUGGUAGCCGCCCGGAAAACUCUGCUUUGCACUGGGAACUUUUUCCAGACCCACAUAUUGGAAGUUUUUCAACACUGGCAUUGAUGUAGUCUCUGUACCCCAGGAAUAUUCAUUCUGUCCCUCUGUUUACAGUUCCUGUAGGCCCAGCACCUGCAAGGCACGUGUAGGGGUCUUUGACCAUGGGGACUCUCUUUCAGAAAACCCAAAGGCCUCACCCCCUGUGUGCUUUUUCUCCAUCUCCCUAACCAAGGAGGACUUUGUUUCCCUCCCCAGUUUUCUCCAGAACGCUAUGUCCUAAAGUCAUCACUUGUUUGGAAAAGUGAAAAAUCAAAAAAAAAAAAAAUGAAGGAUCUUGGCCACAAGCCCUUUUGGGUCACCUUGACCUUCAUGUGAGCUGACUUGGAUAUGGGGCCUCUGCUCCACUGGCCUCAGAGCCCGAUGGGAGUGGCGAAGCCCAGGGGACCCACAUGUGGGUGGAGAAAACCCCAAGGAGCUAUGGAGAACACAGCCAACUCCCAACUUUCACCCAGCCUCCUCCGGAUGACCCUUGGGUGGGACCUGCAUCUGUGCAGCUGCAGGCAAACAGGAAGUUCUGGAGAAAUGCUCAGGGCUAUGUUUAGGAGGUGAAGGCCCAGAAAUGGCAGCAGGGAGGAGACUUUGUGCUCUGGGGGUAGCUGGUGCAAGCCAGACAUGGCCUGGGGCUUGGCUGUUGGGGUCACCCAAAGGUUCUGUCCUUUGAAACAAGAGAACAGCAGCAGCCUGAAAACUCUCUCACUUUCUGGCUUUGCAAUCUGAGCACUCGCUUCCAGGCCUAUGCUGGGAGAAGAACCCAAACAGGGAAGGGUCUUAAUCCUUGACCUCUAGGAGCAGUGGGCCUUGGUUCCAGGUUGAUCUGCCUCACUGGGCUGUACAUGAGGAAGCUGGCUAUUUCAACAAAGCCUGCCUCUCCUCAUGGCUGGCCUCACCAAGCCUCUCUCCAUUCUCUCCCCAAUCCCUCCCACGGCACUCCAAACAUGAGCUUUCUACUGCAGCUGAGCCCUCCAGCCAUUCCUAAACUCAGUGUUCCAGAAGUAGUUAGCAUCAUAAUACAAGAGGGUUGAGAAUCAAAACCCAGGGGCCCGACUCCUUCUGAGCCAACUCCUCUUGCUUUGUGACCUCAAUUGACCUAUUAGUCCUGCCUCAUUUUAAGCUUUGCACACCUCCUCUCCUGCAACUGGGGCCAUUUCAUCUCUUUCAAUGGCCCGGCAUCAUCAUCGCUGUAUGCAGGCCUGACCUCAGGCAGAAGGGAGUGAGGCAGCAUGACAUAGGAUGAAGCAGAAAGGCACUGGGGGAUCAUGACUGCUUCCCAGACCUUAGUCUCAGGAUGCCACACCGGAAGAGCUGGACCCCACAUUUGAAGACAGAUGUCCCUGGCGGUGCCCGCCUGCUCUGUAAAGAGCUAGUCCCAGGCUCCCAUUGUGACCUAGCACCUCAACCUCUCCUGACCCUUUUGCCUAGGCCAGAUCCUGAGAUCGGAGAGUACAUACAUCUCCCUGGGGCUUGCUUUCCUCUCCCAUAAAAUUUAGGAGUUGGGGAUGAUCUUAUCCCUCUACCUAGACUGUAGACUCCUGGGAGCGGGAGGCAAGGCACUCACAAGCAAGGGCAUCAGAGUGACAUCAAGACACAAACAGCCAUGGAAUCUUGGGAACAGAUCAAGGAGUCCACCUCUUAAAAUAUUGUAAAAAAUAAAAUCUGAGUACGAAUGUUGGUGAAAAGGACCAAGG
rnacentral:lncRNA from 1 species